UGGGGAAUCUUCCGCAAUGAGCGAAAGCCUGACGGAGCAACGCCGCGUGAAUGAAGAAGGCCUUCGGGUCGUAAAGUUCUGUCUUUAGGGAAGAAGUCUCUUUAUGUGAAUAAUGUAGAGAGGUGACGGUACCUGAGGAGGAAGCUCCGGCUAACUACGUGCCAGCAGCCGCGGUAAUACGUAGGGAGCAAGCGUUGUCCGGAAUUACUGGGCGUAAAGGGCGCGUAGGCGGGAUAUUAAGUUAGGUGUGAAAACUCCGGGCUCAACUUGGAGACUGCACUUAAAACUGGUAUUCUUGAGGACAGGAGAGGAAAGUGGAAUUCCUAGUGUAGCGGUGAAAUGCGUAGAUAUUAGGAGGAACACCAGUGGCGAAGGCGACUUUCUGGACUGUAACUGACGCUGGGGCGCGAAAGCGUGGGGAGUGAACG
rnacentral:rRNA from 1 species